ACGAGGAGGAGACCGCUCUGGAGCUCGUUAUGCGGCAGGAAAAUGUCCCGAAGCACAUGCUUAAGGAGGCAGACGAAUGGUGAUCUGGCUAUAUGACAACAGCAAUCUGCAACAUCAGGGAUACUGUAUUAUAAAUGAGGAUUAAAGAUGGACUCCAAUCUUGAAAGGGGAGUAAUUUUCUAUUCAUUUCCCUCAACUUCACCUAUAAAUAGCACUAAUGAGCAAGGCAAAUAUCCGUAUUUUCCUUCUUUGACAGUAAUUUUAAAAAAUGUUUCAGCUGCUAUGAUUCCCAUAGAAAGAUUCCCAGAAGAAAAUUUGACUUCCAUCACUUACAAAUCAAACCUUUAAUUUUUCUGUCUUGAUGACAGUUUAGUGAGUUCUAGCUGAUUUUACCAAACAUCUAAAUAAUUAUUAAUAACAUUGAGGAAUUUUAAGAUACAUUUGUCUCUCAAAUGGAAAUGAAAUCUCACAUGACCAGAAAUACCUCAUGGAAGAAGUGGCUUUAGGAAUUUUAUGUUUAAUUGCAAGAGGAUUUUGACUGUAAUCCUAAAUAUACUUCCUACUGAACAUUUUCUUCUAGUUACUUUGCUACCAAGCACUGUAACAUAGAUGAGCACUGAAUGUAUUACAAUAGAUUAAAACUACUAUCAAUAGUUUAUUGAAAGGC